rnacentral:rRNA from 1 species
AUUGAACGCUGGCGGCAUGCUUUACACAUGCAAGUCGAACGGUAACAGGCCGCAAGGUGCUGACGAGUGGCGAACGGGUGAGUAAUGCAUCGGAACGUGCCCAGUCGUGGGGGAUAACUACUCGCAAGAGUAGCUAAUACCGCAUACGAUCUAUGGAUGAAAGCGGGGGACCGUAAGGCCUCGCGCGAUUGGAGCGGCCGAUGUCAGAUUAGGUAGUUGGUGGGGUAAAGGCUCACCAAGCCAACGAUCUGUAGCUGGUCUGAGAGGACGACCAGCCACACUGGGACUGAGACACGGCCCAGACUCCUACGGGAGGCAGCAGUGGGGAAUUUUGGACGAUGGGCGCAAGCCUGAUCCAGCAAUGCCGCGUGCAGGAAGAAGGCCUUCGGGUUGUAAACUGCUUUUGUACGGAACGAAACGGCUCUGGUUAAUACCCGGGGCUAAUGACGGUACCGUAAGAAUAAGCACCGGCUAACUACGUG